AGCACACAGGUUUUGCCCAGGGAGGAUGGAGUGGGCAGUUUGGUUUGUGACUGGAGCAGGACGUGAGUGAGGUUUUAUAGAUCCAUAUGCCUGGCUGUUCUGAGCUUAUCAUCCCUGUGCUGAUGAGGCCAUUGCGGUCAGUGGGGCAGAGUGGGUCUCUUUUGUAGGGUUCCUGUUAUGGCCAGGAUACAGGGGUUUUGUGAGGUCUAAGGCAAGAUCCCUCAGUUUCAGAGGCUCAGAACUGGGUUUGUCGGGAGGCGGAGAUGGAACAGGAAGGUGAGAAGAGGCUAGACGAGGUCCAGACAGCUCCCCAUCACACCCCGGCGUUAGGAGCACGCCUUUCUCCUCUUCCUUUAUCGGAUCAAAGUCUUCCAUCAAGCUGUCUGGUUCUGUCUUAUUCAAUUAAACUUUUUAAUCCAAUUUGACCCAUGCAUUCAUCUUCUUUGAAAUCUGAGAGACGACAGCAUCCGCUACAAAUUGAGAGUAAAUGGCCGAAUUAGCUUUCAGAGAGGAUCCAACGAGACUGUUUCUUCCCAGGGAC
rnacentral:lncRNA from 1 species